GAUGAACGCUGGCGGCGUGCCUAAUACAUGCAAGUCGAGCGAACCACUUCGGUGGGAAGCGGCGAACGGGUGAGUAACACGUAGGUAAUCUGCCCAUCAGACGGGGACAACGAUUGGAAACGAUCGCUAAUACCGGAUAGGACGAAAGUUUAAAGAUGCUCCUGGCAUCGCUGAUGGAUGAGCCUGCGGCGCAUUAGCUAGUUGGUAGGGUAAAGGCCUACCAAGGCGACGAUGCGUAGCCGACCUGAGAGGGUGAACGGCCACACUGGGACUGAGACACGGCCCAGACUCCUACGGGAGGCAGCAGUAGGGAAUCUUCGGCAAUGGGCGAAAGCCUGACCGAGCAACGCCGCGUGAAUGAAGAAGGCCUUCGGGUUGUAAAAUUCUGUUAUAAGGGAAGAAAGGUGAUAGGAGGAAAUGACUAUCAAUUGACGGUACCUUAUGAGAAAGCCACGGCUAACUACGUGC
rnacentral:rRNA from 1 species